rnacentral:misc_RNA from 1 species
UGUUAAAAAAGUGGCUACAUUUAUUUUGCUGUCAAAUUUUGGUAACUAUGCCAAAAUUUUAGUUUGCUACCCUUAGAGCCUGUUCACUUUGAUGCCAAAAAAAAACCUUACCAAAUUUUAGCAUUGCCAAGUUUUGGUAACUUGCUAAAAUUUUAGCAGGAUUUCUUAUAUAGUUACCAAAAUUUGGCAGCAAAAUAAAUGUAGCCACUUUUUUUUGCAA